ACAUGCCUACAACAUAGCGUUAAACCAUCGGAUCCCAUUAGAAAUCUGCAGUUAAGCGUGCUCGGGAUAGAGUAGUAUUUGGAUGGGUGAUCUCCCGUGAAAUCCUAGUUUUUUACAUGCC
rfam:Picea glauca, whole genome shotgun sequence.